rnacentral:rRNA from 1 species
AUGACGAGAUUCACCGUCAGACUACAGUCGCAUCGAGUAGGGCACCGGACGGGCGACGUGCCAUCUGGGCACUUAUAUGGAGGUGCCCUGUUCCACCAAAGAUUUCUAAUUAGCUAUGCUGAAUCUCUUCGAUGCAUCAAUCAUUUUCCAACCACUGACAUCAUCAAAGGGAAGAUGGUGCCGCCGCCAAUUGGGUAUAGUUCUACAAUGAUAAAUACAGCAAUGCAACAUGCAGCCACAGUCCAGUGGUCUGCCCCGCCGGCCGGUCGCGUGAAGCUCAAUGUUGACGGGUCGUUCGUUCAUACCGAUGGUGGAUUAGCAGGAGCUGACCGCUCCAGGCUGAGCUGUUGGCAUGUCAGGAGGGAUUAA